GGGAAGCCCCCAAGAGACCAGUUUGAACUUUUGAAAGAGGAAACUGGGGCUCAAAGAAAAGGAGACUCGGUCUUGGGUCACAGAGUCCCUGCCCUUAAUCCUGGGAGUUGGUCUGGCUUCCUGUUGAUCAGACGCUGGGAGAGGGAUGGUGCAGGUGGCUGAAAUGAUGCCUUCCUUGGAUGAGGGAUGACCCAGUCCCAGACCCUUGAGGCAGAAAGCUCCAGACUGGCUGCCGGAAAGACAGCACAGUCCAGGGCCCCCACUGAAGUCCUGCCCCAGCCACCACGGGUGAAUUCAUACGUGGCUUCUUCCCUUCCCCCCCAGUGGACCCCAUGGGGAACGCUGCUCUGGAAGACACUGAGAAAAGGCCCAAGCCGAGGCCACUGGCCCCUAGGGGAGCCCUGGGCCUCCUCUUCCCAGGACUUAAGCCUUUCCACCAACAGCCUCCGCAUCUUCCCCUGGCACUUCUGCACCUUCCUGGAACACGUCCCAUCAGACCAAUAGGAAGGGAGCCGUCUGCUGGGUAUGCCAGGAUGCCUCCACAUGGAGCACCCCUGCCCACCCCCAACGGUGCCCUCCCUGGAGACCCAGAGCACUCAGGUCAUCUUCUAGACUCUUUUCACCUCUGCCCCUUGGGAUAGCAACUCUCGGGCCUGACCUGCCAGCCCACCCAUCAGUUGGGUUGAAAAUAAAGAUUCAGGCCUGACUUUGGAGACUUUGGGUAGUGUGAAUAAUCCAAUGCCUGCUGCCCCCACAGCCUGGCCUCGUGACACCCCUCUUGUGCCUCUGAGCAGAGGAUGUGCAGUGGAGAAAGGAGGAGGGGAAACAAACAGGGAAGAAAGGAAAAGGGAAGGUGCCAUGGGAGGGGAAAGGCAGACCAGGAGGAAGGAGAAAGGCAAAGGCAUUCCUUCCCUGGUCACAACCCUGAAGAGACCUCACCCCUCCAGCUCCAGGGGUCUCCCCUGGGGUGCUGAGCCAGCCAAGCCUCGGUCAUCACCUAGUGAGACCCUACUUACUGCUGGAUGCAGACCUCACACAUCUCCAGGGAGCAGAACGAGC
rnacentral:lncRNA from 1 species